UACGGGGGGCGGAAGCGUUGUUGCGGAAUUACUGGGCGUAAAGGGCUCGUAGGCGGCCAACUAAGUCAGACGUGAAAUCCCUCGGCUUAACCGGGGAACUGCGUCUGAUACUGGAUGGCUUGAAUUCGGGAGAGGGAUGCGGAAUUCCAGGUGUAGCGGUGAAAUGCGUAGAUAUCUGGAGGAACACCGGUGGCGAAGGCGGCAUCCUGGACCGACAUUGACGCUGAGGAGCGAAAGCCAGGGGAGCAAACGGG
rnacentral:rRNA from 1 species